GUCGUGAGACAGUUCGGUCCCUAUCCGGCGUGGGCGUAGGAUAUUUGAGAGGAGCUGUCCUUAGUACGAGAGGACCGGGAUGGACUGGCCGCUGGUGUACCUGUUGCACUGCCAAGUGCACGGCAGGGUAGCCAAGCCGGGACGGGAUAAACGCUGAAGGCAUCUAAGCGUGAAGCCCCCCUCAAGAUGAGAUAUCCCAAACGAAAGGAGUAAGACCCCUUGCAGACGACGAGGUAGAUAGGGCAGAGGUGGAAGUGCAGCAAUGCAUGGAGCUGACUGUUACUAAUCGGUCGAGGGUUUGACCUG
rnacentral:rRNA from 1 species